rnacentral:lncRNA from 1 species
CUUUAUAGUAUAUGGUGACUAUAAGCCCCCGUUUGGUUCGGGGUUAAGAAAAAGUAGCUAUUCCAGGGAUAGGGUUAAGUUCAGGGUUAAAAUGGUGUUAAAAUUUUUUUGUGUUUGGUUGGAGGUUGGAGUUAGUCUAGGAUAGUGAAAAAAAGUGUUUGGUUGGAGUAGGUAGGAUAAGAAAAUAAUGAUUGAUAAAGAAGAAAAAGAUGAGAGCUCGGGAUGCGUGCGGGGUUAAAGUUGGGAGGGGGAGUGGGGUUAAUGAUUGAUAAAGAAGAAAAAGGUGAGGGCUCGGGAUGCGUGCGGGGUUAAAGUUGGGAGGGGGAGUGGGGUUAAUGAUUGAUAAAGAAGAAAAAUGUGAGGGCUCGGGAUGCUUGCGGGGUUAAAGUUGGGAGGGGGAGUGGGAUUAGUAAAUCCCACUAACCCGGUUUGGGGUGGAGUUUACUAAUCCCAUCCCAAAAGAGUGAUGUUUGGAUAUAAAUUAGGGGUUAAGGGGUUAUUCCACCUCUUAAUCCUCAACCAAACGGUGGCUUAAAGUGAUAAAAUACUAGACUACU